rnacentral:tRNA from 1 species
GCCUUCGUGGUGUAGUGGUCAGCACGCUCGACGCGUAUUCGAGAGGUCCGUGGUUCGAGUCCCGGCGAAAGCA